rnacentral:sRNA from 1 species
AGUGCUGAAAAGGAGCCUCUGGAAGAGAGGGCCUUCUCCCGCUUCUCUCCUCCUCCUCUCCAUGCUGGGGGGAUCCUGGUCACCUCUGACAAAAUUCUGGGGACGCUGGGAACACUGAGUCACCAUGGGCAAUGAGAACAGCACCUCGGACAACCAGGUGGGUGUCAGGAAGCUUCUCUCUCGAGCUACAUGGUGCUCUUGGCAGACCUUGACUAGGUUCUUUUUACAGCGUCUCAUCUUCACCCAGGAAGGAGCAAACAAGACAGCUUCUGCGUAAAUGCGUGCAGGCAUUUAUGGAUCUAUGCAGCCAUUUUUCAUUUCAUUGGAAUUCUCUUACGAUUAAGGCUAGCUCUAGUUAAAGCCGGAAACGCUAAUUCUACUUAUUAUUUAUUAUUAUUUUUAAAGACAUGGUCUUGCUCUGUCACCCAGGCUUGAAUGCAGUGGCAUGAUCAUAGCUCACUGCAGCCUCAAACACCUGGACUAAAGUGAUCCUCCUGCCACACAGCCUUCCAAGUAUCUGGGACUACAGGCAUGCACCACCACACCUGGCUAAUUUUUUAAUGUUUAGGUUUUGUAGAGAUGGGGUCUGGCUAUGUUGCCCAGGCUGGCCUUGAGCUCCUGGACUCAAGCAAUUCUCCUUCUUUGGCUCCCCAAAGCGCUGGGAUUACAAGUAUGAGCCACCAUUACAGGCAUGAGCCACCAGGCCUGGCCUUACUUUUUAUUCUGUCUUCUAAAACUGACAUAAGAGAGAUUGGCACAUUUUCCCUAGGUUGUGUCCACCCAUCAACUUACAUGGAUUUAGCAGAGGUUAAAAUAAAACCUUUCCACACUGCUCCCCCAAAUAAAGCUAUGGCCAUUAAAAAAUGAUUUUGAAAUCUAUCAGUGUUGGGCAGAUUAAAUGUGAGUGGUCAUUCUCAUGUUAAACAAGGUUUUCACAAUUGAAGAAUGGACUUUAACUGCUUAAUUGUGCGUAGGCUGAGAUAUUACAACAUAUUCAAAUUUUUCAUUAUCUAUUUUAAGUUUGAAAGUUUUAACUUAAUGCGUUGGUGAACAAAAUCAGGGAGACACUUUCCCAUUUAUCUCACACAAACUGGGAAGUUUGGAUUAAUGACAUUGAGUUCCUUGAAUGAGAAAACUGGAUCUAAAAACCCACAUGCUGUAAUUCAUUUCCCUCUGCCUUUUUCUUCCCUACAAUUUUUUUUUUUUUUUGACAGAGUCUCUCUCUGUCACCCAGGCUGGAGUGCAGUGGCACAAUCUCCGUCUCCCCCCGGGUUCAAGCAGUUCUCCUGCCUCAGCCUCCCGAGUAGCUGGGAUUACAGGGGCCUGCCACCAUGCCCAGCUGAUUUUUGUAUUUUUAGCAGAGGCAGGGUUUCACCGUGUUGGCCAGGCUGGUAUCGAACUCCUGACUUCAGGUGAUCCACCCUUCUCGGCCUCCCAAACUGCUGGGAUUACAGGCAUGAGCCACCGCGCCUGGCCUCUACAAUUUUCUUUUCUCAAGAAAGAAAACAAAGUGUCAAAAGAAAAGUUGUCAAACUCCAGCAUCUUUAGGGGCAGGCCAGAAACAACAAUUGUGUUAAAAGACUGAGUGUGACCAUGGAAUACUAUGCAGCCAUAAAAAAGGAUGAGUUCACAUCCUUUGUAGGGACAUGGAUGAAGCGGGAAACCAUCAUUCUGAGCAAACUAUCGCAAGGACAGAAAACCAAACACCACAUAUUCUCACUCAUAGGUGGGAAUUGAACAAUGAGAAGACUUGGACACAGGAUGGGGAACAUCACACACUGGGGCCUGUCGUGGGGUUGGGGGAGGGGGAGGGAUAGCAUUGGGAGAUAUACCUAAUGUAAAUGACAAGUUAAUGCGUGCAGCAAACCAACAUGGCACAUGUGUACAUAUGUAACAAACCUGCACGUUGUGCACAUGUACCCUAGAACUUAAAGUAU